AAUUGGAUUUGUGGACUAGACGUUACGGAGUCAGUUUGGACAUAAUUCUGGGUCAGAUUGCAACCGUCCAAUCUUUCGUCGACGAUGUAGUGACCCAUUACGGGAAAGUUGCCAUGUGUGUAUAAAAGAAAAAAAGGGGAAAAAAAAGGAGGGAUAAAAUGCCACUUCGGAGAAUAUAGUACCGGGUCAGCUACGACGACAAAACCCUGCACCAAACAGCCUAGGCCUAUUGUAAAGCCAGAGCUCGUUCUCCUGAAAUCGAUAUAUCUGUUGAGGCGAAUAGCAAGGGAUUCCAGAUUACAGAACAACGAUACGAGAAGAAAGAUAAGGAAUUAUCACGCGCACACACAGUCAUAAAAGAGCUUUGCAAUACCGCUAAUUAAUUCCAUCCGAAGAAAGGACGUUACACUAGUGUUUUUCCGCGUUCUUAGAUGUAAGUACACUUACACUUGAUUAAAGUUUAAACAAAUAUCCAGCAACCCAGAAUGAUACACAGAAAUAAUUGGAAAAGAAUACGCGAUAAAAAAUCUUCGGAUUUGAGAGAAACUAUAAGUUCUUAUAUAAAUAAAUCAUGCAUAUUUUAAGAAUAUUUACAAUAAAUUAAAUGUUCUUGUAUUGUGUUUUUCUGAGAACUUGUAUUUACAGUUAGAGAGUACGUGAUGCUUAUAACAGGUAUUUAAUUUUGUAUAUUAUCAGAUGUUAACGUAAUUUUUCAGUUUUUAGUCAACCUUGUGAUUCUGUUAACAUUUAAUAU